UUAUCUUUUUAGGUUUCGUCAAAAUAGCUACCAUCACAAUUACCACAUUUCCCAUCACAUUUCAUUGUUCACACGCUUCAAAUACAACAGGUGUAGAGUAACAACAGGUGUAGAGUAACAACAGGUGUAGAGUAACAACAGGUGUAGUGUAACAACAGGUGUAGAGUAACAGGUGUAGCGUGACAACAGGUGUAGAGUAACAACAGGUGUAGUGUAACAACAGGUGUAGAGUAACAGGUGCAGAGUAACAACAGGUGUAGAGUAACAACAGGUGUAGCGUGACAACAGGUGUAGAGUAACAACAGGUGUAGAGUAACAACAGGUGUAGAGUAACAACAGGUGUAGAGUAUCAACAGGUGUAGAGUAUCAACAGGUGUAGAGUAACAACAGGUGUAGAGUGACAACAGGUGUAGAGUAACAACAGGUGUAGAGUAUCAACAGGUGUAGAGUAACAACAGGUGUAGAGCAACAACAGGUGUAGAGCAACAACAGGUGUAGAGUAACAACAGG
ensembl:lncRNA